UGCAUAUGUACUCGUAUAUGUAUGCAUUUAAAGAAAAACCUAAAAAAACAUAGAAGAUUAAAAUAGCCCCUGCGCAAGGAUGACACUGAAGAAAAAUCAAAAAUCAUUUUUU